rnacentral:rRNA from 1 species
GAGUUUGAUCCUGGCUCAGAGCGAACGCUGGCGGCAUGCUUAACACAUGCAAGUCGCACGGUCAGCAAUGGCAGUGGCGGACGGGUGAGUAACGCGUAGGAAUCUAUCUCUGGGUGGGGGACAACAGUGGGAAACUACUGCUAAUACCGCAUGAUACCUGAGGGUCAAAGGCGUAAGUCGCCUGGAGAGGAGCCUGCGUCUGAUUAGCUUGUUGGUGGGUAAAGGCCUACCAAGGCUACGAUCAGUAGCUGGUCUGAGAGGAUGAUCAGCCACAUUGGGACUGAGACACGGCCCAAACUCCUACGGAGGCAGCAGUGGGAAUAUUGGACAAUGGGCGAAAGCCUGAUCCAGCAAUA